UGCGUAGGCGGCUUGGUAAGUCAGAUGUGAAAUCCUGGGGCUCAACCUCGGAACUGCAUUUGAUACUGCCAGGCUAGAGUACUGGAGAGGAGACUGGAAUUCACGGUGUAGCAGUGAAAUGCGUAGAUAUUCGGAAGAACACCGGUGGCGAAGGCGGCUUACUGGCCCAUUACUGACGCUGAGGCUCGAAAGCGUGGGGAGCAAACA
rnacentral:rRNA from 1 species